rnacentral:lncRNA from 1 species
UUAAAGGUGCACUUUUAAGCAAUAUUUGAAAAAUGCUUGUUUUGACCACAGUGUCAGACCUAGUCCCAAAACACACUCGCAGCCAAUCAGCAGUAAGGGGCAUGUCUUGUAAUGAUAGGGAGAAGAGAUCGCUCAGUGAGUGCACAGGACGGAUAUUAGCAGAUCAAAUAAAGCGAUAGAUGGCACAUAAAAAACAAUGAAAAUUUAGGAGGAAUAAAACAUUAAAAAAAAGAAGAGAUCGCUCAGUGAGUGCACAGGACGGAUAUUAGCAGAUCAAAUAAAGCGAUAGAUGGCACAUAAAAAACAAUGAAAAUUUAGGAGGAAUAAAACAUUAAAAAAAGGGAUACGAUCAGGCAAGAUGUAGGACCCAUGUAAAUAUUGGAGCAACUUUUCAGCGGUGGAGAAACUCAAGGAGCGGGAAGGCCUGGAAUCGGACACCGAGGUUGCUUUGUUUCUUAUUGAUAGGAUGGUGCAUUCGAGCUGAAACAGUGAACUCAUCUAAACAUCAGCCCUCUCUGACCAUCUCCGGCAAACAUCCAUUAUCCAGAGCCAUCCGCUUCCUCAGGCUGAUCUAUGGAGGAAAACUGUUGUUGUUUUCAGCAUGCCAGGAGAUGAGUUUCUCUCUGCUCUUGAACAACAGGACUGGACAUCAAGUGUUGCUCUUAAGGUUAAUUAGAAAAAUUAUCUCAUCAGAGGAGCACCUCUCCUCCCUCCUCCUCCUGCCAGAGACAUGCUAAUCUCUGACAAGUCUGCUCGGGGUCUCUCUCUGUCAGAGCCGCUCAAGGUACCCACGGCCCCUGAAAAGAUCCGCUUCGCUGAGCCACUUUGACUGGGCUGCUAAUAAAAAGACAGGAAAGAGUGUGACCUGUUUGGACUCACUCACAACCACUUUGUAUCCCACCUAUAUCUGUCACCUCAUCUCCCUCUCUCUCUUUCUAUCCCUCACUCAGUCUCUUUAUCUAUAUGUGGUCUUUUGGUCUUCUCAGUAUUUCUUCUUUUUUUGGUUACCUUUCCUUCUGUGCUGCUCAGCUAAUGCUGGCACAAAUGAAGCAGAACGCCUUAUUUUCUCUCUCCCGCAUCACUCUGGCCUCUCUUGCUUGACCGUAUCUAUUUUUUUCCCUCUUUCUCUUUUAAACUGAAGUUCCUUUCUGUCCAAAUGCUUUUAAUCUUUUACCUCUUCCAUGCCUUUCAUUUUAUUUUCCUCUCUUUUGCAUCUUGCUACUCUUUCAGUCAGAUUCGUCUUUGCUCCCAUUAAUAUAAAGGGAUUGAUCGCCAAAAAAAUAAAUUAGUAAUUAUGCUGUUAUUUUUCUUCUGAUGUGAUCUCAUUAGUAAGUGUAGGUAAGCAUACUUAAAAUGUGUUUCUACCACACAUAGGUUUUUGUACGAUUGCAUAAACACUGAAAUUAACAUUAUAUAUAAAUACACAUAAU